CUCCAACGUACAAUCCAGACAGAAGGUGUUGCAAUCCAGUGCAAUUGAGUUAGCAGAUGGAGAACUCUGGAUCUCUGGACCUGCCCAUGACCACCCAGCCACCGAGGAGAGAGACGGUUAGCACUGCAAGCAAGUUUGCCCUUGGGCUCUGGUUGCAAUAUCUGGACAGGUGCAAGCGGAGCUCAUAUGAAUCCGGAGACAGUAAAGGAAGGAGACAACAUGGGAACAUGUGGACCCUCCCAGGGCGCUGGUGAGGCAUGUAAUCCCCUCCCUGGCCCACCGUGACACUCGAGCAAUAGUCACAACCUUUAUUAUGGGUGAGAACUUCGCUACAACUUUGGGAAUAAAAAGUAAAAUUACAACAUAGGUCCUAGGCCCCAAAGGGGGCCUGAAAAACUGGGAAGGAAGAGACGAGGGUCCUCCCAGAAAAGGUGCAGAAAGAACCAGGCCUACCACAGGGACGCAGGUCUCUAGUGGCUUAGGCCUUGGGAUGUUUGGCAUAAGAAAUACUGUGAAUUGAGCCAGGCAUGGUGGCACACUCCUGAAUCCCAGCUACUUUAGGAGGCAGAGGCGGGAGGAUCAUGAGUUCAGGACCACCCCAGGCAAGUCAGUAAUACCCUUUUUCAAAAACAAAUACAUACACAAGGGCUCUACUUCAACUAAGACACAGCAUUUGUCUAGAACAUAAGAGAGGCCCUGGGUUCAAUCCCCCAGUACCACAAGAAAAAAAGAAAAAAAGUGAACUUAAAUAUAUCAAUAAA